rnacentral:rRNA from 1 species
UACGGGGGGGGUAAGCGUUGUUCGGAAUUACUGGGCGUAAAGGGCUCGUAGGCGGCCAACUAAGUCGGACGUGAAAUCCCUCAGCUUAACUGGGGAACUGCGUCCGAUACUGGAUGGCUUGGAUUUGGGAGAGGGAUGCGGAAUUCCAGGUGUAGCGGUGAAAUGCGUAGAUAUCGGAAGGAACAUCAGUGGCGAAAGCGGCUUCCUGGACCAGCACCGACGUUCAGGCACGAAAGCGUGGGGAGCAAACAGG